rnacentral:lncRNA from 1 species
CAGCCCUUUGUGGAGAAGCCCAGGCGGCCUAGAAUCCAGUGUCGUCCGUGAGUGCUUGGCUGGUGUUCAAGUGCAUCUUCCAGCCUGAGACCGCGUGGACUCGCUCAUCGUGAGGGCGAGAGGAGGAUAAGCCCAUUGGGCUGUCGGCUGAGAGUGAGGUGCGGGAUUGCUGAUGAAAUCCUUGGCAUCGUCGGAGAUCUCAUCGAAUGCCUCGUCGUCGAAGUCCCAGGUGGCUGAGGUAACGUUGGCCAAGGUUUCGUUAUCGUUGUCUCCCAUGAAGGGGGAAAGGCCACUGACUCUGGAGAGACAAGAGCAGGACAGCAGGUGUGGCUAGGAGAGGGCGCGACGACCAGACAAGUGGUUCAAGUCCUCUCAAGACCCAGCUAAGGAAGUAAAAAAACCUGAAGAGGGAUGGAAGACAGACCCACUAUUCCUCCCAGAGAAGACUGCCUGGAGACCAUGUGAUUGGCCACAGUUGGAGUUGUGUGGGCUUAUAAACGAAUGCACUCUGCCAACUGAUCUUCCUUCUGCUUUGGUCAAGAAAAGAAAACUGAGAAAUGGGUGUUGCAGAAGAGGUGCCAUUUGUACCCUACCCUGUUACACAUGUCUCUUGGCUGAAAAUGAGAACCUAUACAUGACAUAUGUGAUACGUAAGACUUGUCACACAAGAGAAGAUGCAAAAUUUGGGGCGAGGGACUUUAAUUCCAAGUAAAACUCCAACAUUUUUAAGGAAUUUGCUACCAAAUUAAGGAGUUCAGAAAAGACCCAAGUCAGAAGUCCUAGGAGAUUGGAGGCCUCCCACUCCUCCACCUGCCUUUAGAGCUGUGGGCUGCACCUAAUGCUUUCUGUUCUUUCUAAGCUAUGAGCCCCAUGCAGUGGCUGAACUAGUAAAGGGAUGAAAACUCUCAGAAAAGAACAGAUGUCCUUAGAACAGGGAGCUCCUGUGAGCUUGUCCUCCACGGCGACACACUCAGACUGGGAGGGAGACCCUGGGCAUCUCUGGGCAAAGGAGACUCCACAUUUCCUCUGAAUUCUCCCAGGGCUCCCUGGAGGCUUGACUAACAGAAUAGGAAACUCAGCUCAGUCUAAGACAAGAGUCUCCAGUGGCACCAGCUCCAGGAUUUUCUCCUCAGCAAAUGUUCUAAUUUCCAGGAAAAUGGAGGAUCCUGUCCUACAGCUUCCCACUAGAGUAACUGCUCUUGAGGUCUCUUGGUCCUCGCUUAUUUGAAGAUGACCAGUGGCUAUGCCUAGCCCCACCUGGAUGUCCCUUCCCUGGGACUUCAGCAGCUGCUGGAAGGGCCCCCACAUGUCAUCUACCUGGAUAAUCCUAGCCCUUGGGAAAUGGGUCCUCAGCAGCUAAGGCAUUUUGCUUAUCAAGAAAACCCAGUAGUCAGUGGCAGAGCCAAAAGGAGAUUCCAAAAAGCCUCUGGACCCUCGCUCCAGGGCUCAAGACUUUCCAGGCUAUCAGGCAGAAUGAGCUCAAGAAGGCAUCUUGCUUAAGCCUGAGCUGAGCAUUAAGAUGGGAAAUCAUGCAAGCUCCAAACUCAGUUAGUAUUUGGGGAUUAUUGGGUAUUUGGGGUUCUCUCUACUUUGUUUUUCUCCUUUAAAGAUAUGAAAAGAGACCUGCUUUUCUCGUGCUGGGUGAGUGACCUUAAGGAAUCCAUCUGGGUAUGCUGCUCACUGUCCCCUCCCUUAUUCCCCACAGGCCAAGACCAGGGGCGCAUGUGCAGGAAGAGGCUCUGAGCAUUGCAAAUUCCUGGGCUGCCUUUUAAAAUAUAAUAAUAAUAAGUCUCCAAAAUAGCUAAAUAUCACUCAUUUAAGCUAACAGAGGGAAAGGCUAGUUUUUAUUAUUGUUUGAAAAAUAGGAGCCAGAGAGGAUCUGAAAAGAAAGUGGCCCUUUAAAGAAUAUACAAUAAGAGAAGUUUGCUGCUAACAAGGAGGAGUUGUAUUAAACUGGCCUUAUUUAGCUGGUCUGUAAAUGCAUGAAAACUGUCCGGAGCAGACCAAGUGAUUCCUGUUUUACCUCAUGUACAUUUUACAUCUGCUUAAUAAACCCUGAUCAGGGAAUACAGAGAUGUCCCUGAAGAUGCACAGGUAAAUCUGAGCUUCAUCCAGGUUUACUUUGAACUAAUUCUAAGUGUACAGGCUCUGAAUGAAUGUGGCUUUGCUGUAUCCAUC